GUAGGUGAACCUGCGGAAGGAUCAUUACCGAGAUUGUGGGGUACCUUCGGGGCCCCGAACCUCCAUCCCGUGUGGUACGACGACACCGAUUGCCUCGGCGGGUAACCCCGCCGGCAGCCCCCCCUAACCUCGCUAUUUUCGUGUCGUCUGAGUGAAUGUGAUAAUUGUCAAAACUUUCAACAACGGAUCUCUUGGUUCUGGCAUCGAUGAAGAACGCAGCAUCUGACUGACUACGUGGUUACGUAUCUCG
rnacentral:misc_RNA from 1 species